rnacentral:rRNA from 1 species
UACGUAGGUGGCAAGCGUUGUCCGGAUUUACUGGGCGUAAAGCGAACGCAGGCGGGCCUUUAAGUAGGAAGUGAAAGGUUGGAGCUCAACUCUAACACUGCUCCCUAUACUGGAGGCCUUGAGUUUCGGAGAGGAAGACGGAACUGCAGGUGUAGCGGUGAAAUGCGUUGAUAUCUGCAGGAACACCAAUGGCGAAAGCAGUCUUCUGGACGAAUACUGACGCUCAGGUUCGAAAGCCAGGGUAGCAAACAGG